CGGUCCAGACUCCUACGGGAGGCAGCAGUGGGGAAUAUUGCACAAUGGGCGCAAGCCUGAUGCAGCCAUGCCGCGUGUGUGAAGAAGGCCUUCGGGUUGUAAAGCACUUUCAGCGGGGAGGAAGGCGAUAAGGUUAAUAACCUCAUCGAUUGACGUUACCCGCAGAAGAAGCACCGGCUAACUCCGUGCCAGCAGCCGCGGUAAUACGGAGGGUGCAAGCGUUAAUCGGAAUUACUGGGCGUAAAGCGCACGCAGGCGGUCUGUCAAGUCGG
rnacentral:rRNA from 1 species